rnacentral:rRNA from 1 species
GACGAACCGUGCGAACGUUAUUCGGAAUCACUGGGCUUAAAGCGCGUGUAGGCGGCCCGGCACGUCCGUCGCUGAAAUCCCCCGGCUCAACCGGGGAAGGGGCGUGGAUACGGCCGGGCUGGAGGGGGGUAGGGGGAGCCGGAACUUCCGGUGGAGCGGUGAAAUGCGUUGAGAUCGGAAAGAACACCAACGGCGAAAGCACUCUGCUGGGCCGACACUGACACUGAGAGACGAAAGCUAGGGGAGCAAAUGGG